GAUGAACGCUGGCGGCGUGCCUAAUACAUGCAAGUCGAGCGAGCAGAUGAGGAGCUUGCUCCUCUGACGUUAGCGGCGGACGGGUGAGUAACACGUGGAUAACCUACCUAUAAGACUGGGAUAACUUCGGGAAACCGGAGCUAAUACCGGAUAAUAUAUUGAACCGCAUGGUUCAAUAGUGAAAGACGGUUUUGCUGUCACUUAUAGAUGGAUCCGCGCCGCAUUAGCUAGUUGGUAAGGUAACGGCUUACCAAGGCAACGAUGCGUAGCCGACCUGAGAGGGGGAUCGGCCACAAGGGAGUGGAGACACGGACCAGACCUGGACGGGGGGCAGCAGUAGGGAAUCUGCCAAAAGGGGGGAAAGAUGGACAGAGCGACGACGCGUGAGGGAUGAAGGUCGCGGGAGGGAAAAACUCUGUUAGGAGGGAAGAAGAAAUGUGUAGGUAACUAGGCACGUUUUGAGGGAACCGAAAAAGAAAGCCACGUCAAACUAUG
rnacentral:rRNA from 1 species